ensembl:lncRNA novel transcript
AGCUCAGAGUAGGUGCUGUGUAAUGCUGGAUGACUGAACAAAUCCUCUACAUUCGUUAUCUUUUAUUACACGCAUACAUCUUUGUUUCCUUGCAUACGACAUGUUUCAAGUCGUCUGGAGCACGUCGACAUUUGGGAAUAGGCAUCCAAGUGCUUACAGUAUGAAUUUUGCCACUGUUGGGAGUAAGAUGAGGUUCAAUCAACUGCUUCUGGAAUGACUUACUGUGGGAGCUAGCAGCAGAGACCUUGCGGGGCUGCUUCCUGCCUGGGUCUUCCCCACCUUGAUCUCUCAAAACUCCUUACAAAAACAGCUGACUCUGGCUCCCGGAAAGCGAAGGUGAGAGUUCUUGAUCACGCUGCGAGUUUUGCACACAAUGUUAGCACGCUGAUUCUUCCACUGCCGGGAGGAGGCCCGGGGCUCUGAGGGCCGGUCCCUGCGGUAGUGAGCUCGUGGGGGAUGAACGGGGAGCGAGUGGCCGCGGGGAGGAGCGAGAGGGUCGCAGCCCCGAGGGCUGUCCUGUGAGCAGGCUGCGGGGCCUGGCGCGCGGGGACCCGGGGAAGACGCUACAAGGCCUGGAGGC